rnacentral:rRNA from 1 species
UACGUAGGGUGCAAGCGUUAAUCGGAAUUACUGGGCGUAAAGCGUGCGCAGGCGGUUAUGUAAGACAGAUGUGAAAUGCCCGGGCUUAACCUGGGAACUGCAUUUGUGACUGCAUGGCUAGAGUUUGGCAGAGGGGGGUAGAAUUCCACGUGUAGCAGUGAAAUGCGUAGAUAUGUGGAGGAACACCGAUGGCGAAGGCAGGUCUCUGGGCUGACACUGACGCUCAUGCACGAAAGCGUGGGGAGCAAACGGG